UGGCAGAAACAUCUCUGUUCCUCUGGUAGGC
rnacentral:piRNA from 1 species